AUGAGGACCCCUGUGAAGCUCCUCAGCUUCCUGCUGCUCUGGCUCCCAGAUUCUUGGUGUGAUAUCCAGAUGAGCCAGCCUUCAUCCGUGUCUGCAUCUCUGGAAAAGAAAGUCACCAUCACCUGCAAAGCCAGUGGCUACAUUAGCAAUGAUUUAGCCUGGUAUCAGCAGAAAGCAGGGAAAGCCCCCAGGCUCCUGAUCUAUUAUGCAACCAAUUUAGGACCAGAUGUCCCUUCCCGGUUCAGUGGCAGUGGAUCUGGGACAGAUUUCACUCUCACCAUCAGCAGCCUGAAGCCUGAGGAUGCUGCCACUUAUUACUGUCAACAACAUUGGAGUACUCCUCCCACAGUGAUAAAAGCCAGAACAUAA